GGCUUAGAAGCAGCCAUUCAUUUAAAGAGUGCGUAACAGCUCACUAGUCGAGUGGACAUGCGCCGACAAUUCACGGGGCUAAGCAUGGUACCGAAGCAGCGGACUGUUUUAACAGUGGUAGGGGAGCGUUCCAUGUGGGUCGAAGCAGAGCGGGUGACCGUCUGUGGACUGCAUGGAAGUGCGAAUGCUGGCAUGAGUAACGAGAGAGACGUGAAAAACGUCUCCGCCGUAAGUCCAAGGUUUCCUGGGCAAGGCUAAUCCCCCCAGGGUCAGUCGGGAGCUAAGGCGAGGCCGCAAGGCGUAGUCGAUGCACAACAGGUAGACAUUCCUGUACCAUCUGAGACUCGUUAUACCAAUGGGGCGACGGAGAAGGAUAGCUGGGCGGGGUUCUGGACGUCCCCGUGAAAGCGCGUAGUCCGGUAGAGUAGGCAAAUCCGCUCUACCUUUAAGGAUGAGGCGUGACGACGAAGCGAAUGCGUGAAGUCAGUGAUUCCAUGCUUCAUAUAAAAACCUCUAGGAAGAAUCUCAGGUGCCCGUACCAAAACCGACACAGGUGGACGGGUAGAGCAUACCAAGGCGAUCGGGAGAACUAUGGUUAAGGAACUCGGCAUACUGACUCCGUAACUUCGGGAGAAGGAGUGCCCCUGUCGGUGACCGAACUUGCUUCGUGAGCUAACGGGGGUCGCAGUGAAACGGCCCAAGCGACUGUUUAUCAAAAACACAGGACUCUGCUAAGUCGUAAGACGACGUAUAGGGUCUGACGCCUGCCCGGUGCUGGAAGGUCACGUGGAGAGGUUAGCCUUCGGGCGAAGCUUUGAAACUAAGCCCCAGUAAACGGCGGCCGUAACUAUAACGGUCCUAAGGUAGCGAAAUUCCUUGUCGGGUAAGUUCCGACCUGCACGAAUGGCGUAACGAUUUGGGCGCUGUCUCAACCAUAGACCCGGUGAAAUUGUAUUAUUCGUGAAGAUGCGAAUUACCCACGGAAGGACGGAAAGACCCCGUGAACCUUUACUACAGCUUGACAUUGUUCACCGGUUCGUCGUGUAGAGGAUAGGUGGGAGACUAUGAAACCUGGGCGCCAGCCUGGGCGGAGUCACCCUUGGAAUACCACCCUCGGCGUAUUGGUGAUCUAACCUGCGACCGUUAUCCGGCGUGGGGACCGUGUCAGGUGGGUAGUUUGACUGGGGCGGUCGCCUCCUAAAAUGUAACGGAGGCGCACGUAAGGUUCGCUCAGGUUGGUUGGCAAUCAACCUUUUGAGUGCAAGAGCAUAAGCGGGCUUGACUGCGAGACCUACAAGUCGAGCAGAGUGGAAACACGGUUCUAGUGAUCCGGCGGCUCAGAGUGGAAUGGCCGUCGCUCAACGGAUAAAAGGUACUCCGGGGAUAACAGGCUGAUCUUGCCCAAGAGUCCACAUCGACGGCAAGGUUUGGCACCUCGAUGUCGGCUCAUCGCAUCCUGGGGCUGGAGCAGGUCCCAAGGGUAUGGCUGUUCGCCAUUUAAAGCGGUACGCGAGCUGGGUUCAGAACGUCGUGAGACAGUUCGGUCCCUAUCCUCCGUGGGCGUAAGAGAAUUGAGGAGAUCUGCCCCUAGUACGAGAGGACCGGGGUGGACGAACCUCUGGUGUACCAGUUGUUGACCAACAGCACCGCUGGUUAGCUACGUUCGGAUCGGAUAACCGCUGAAAGCAUCUAAGCGGGAAGUCGGCUCCAAGAUGAGUUCUCUUUGUGGUAAGGCCCCUUGUAGACUACGAGGUUGAUAGGCUGCAGCUGUAAGGUGUGUGAGCAUUUCAGGCGAGCAGUACUAAUUGGCCGAGCUCUUCUUAUU
rnacentral:rRNA from 1 species